UACAGAGGUCUCAAGCGUUGUUCGGAUUCAUUGGGCGUAAAGGGUGCGCAGGCUGUGUGGUAAGUCGGGUGUGAAAUUUAGGGGCUCAACCUCUAAACUGCAUCUGAUACUGCCAUGCUAGAGGACUGUAGAGGAGAUUGGAAUUCACGGUGUAGCAGUGAAAUGCGUAGAUAUCGUGAGGAAGACCAGUGGCGAAGGCGAAUCUCUGGGCAGUUCCUGACGCUCAUGCACGAAGGCUAGGGGAGCAAACGGG
rnacentral:rRNA from 1 species